GUUUGGGUUCUUUGGUCCAACAUUUCGACAUCUUCUUUCAAGAUUAUUUAUAAAGAGGAUUUCUUGCUUGCAAUUUAAUAGGAACUGAAAUGAAGUAACAAUAUACUUGCGAGUUGCGAUGUUGAGGUCUGCUUGGUGCUAACUGUGAAACUAAAACUGCGUAUUUUUGCAACUACGUGUUCUUCAAAAUGGCAGCUCAGGGAAAUCUGCGAAUAGCAGUGAAAAAUCUUUAUCGACAGCUCUAUCACCUUGGUAAAGAUUAUCCUGCAGGAAAGGAAUAUUUUCACGCGAAAUUACACCAAGCUUUCAUGAAGAAUAAGGAUGUCACUGAUCCGAAACAGAUUCAACAGCUCAUCGAUCGAGGAAAUUAUGUGGUGAAAGAACUGGAAGCACUGUACAUGUUACGCAAGUAUAGAACUUUAAAAAAACGGUAUUAUAGUUGAUUCAUUUGUGUUAAUCUUUAAUGAUAUUCCAUAAAACUUUGUAUAUACAGUUGAAAGAAAAAUAAACCUGCACAAAGGUGUAGAAAUAUAUGCACGGUAUAACCGUAAUACAAGAGCUAUGAUUGGUCGACUUGUUAGCCUCGUUUCCCUCUGUAGAGAGAAUAGGUGUAUUCAAUAUUUGACAAAAAUUGAGAUUUUAUAGUUUUCAGAAGCAUAUUAAUUAAAUUCUGGAAGCAAAAUUUGGAAUUUAUGCACGCCAGGGCAGUCAAAAUGUAUUAUCAUUGCGUAAACUACAAGGAUAUUAU